UGGGGAAUAUUGCACAAUGGGCGCAAGCCUGAUGCAGCCAUGCCGCGUGUGUGAAGAAGGCCUUCGGGUUGUAAAGCACUUUCAGCGAGGAGGAAGGUGGUGAGCUUAAUACGCUCAUCAAUUGACGUUACUCGCAGAAGAAGCACCGGCUAACUACGUGCCAGCAGCCGCGGUAAUACGUAGGGUGCAAGCGUUAAUCGGAAUUACUGGGCGUAAAGCACACGCAGGCGGUUUGUUAAGUCAGAUGUGAAAUCCCCGGGCUCAACCUGGGAACUGCAUUUGAAACUGGCAAGCUAGAGUCUCGUAGAGGGGGGUAGAAUUCCAGGUGUAGCGGUGAAAUGCGUAGAGAUCUGGAGGAAUACCGGUGGCGAAGGCGGCCCCCUGGACGAAGACUGACGCUCAGGUGCGAAAGCGUGGGGCAGCAAACAGGAUUAGAUACCCUGGUAGUCCAGCGCUGUAAAACGAUGUCGAUUUGGAGGUUGUGCCCUUGAGGCGUGGCUUCCGGAGCUAACGCGUUAAAGUCGACCGCCUGGGGAGUACGGCCGCAAGGUUAAAACUUAAAGGAAUUGACGGGGUCAUAGCUGUUUCCU
rnacentral:rRNA from 1 species